CUCUCGCUGGCACUCAGCAUGUCCUUAAUACAGACUGUUUUGUUGAUUAUUUUUCAAUUUCAGUUUGAUUUCUAGUCACUGUCUUUGUUUCUCCCAUGAUUGCCAGAAGGUGGUUUGUGUUUUUCUUCCCAUUCUCUGCAUAGAUCACCUAUGUCCUUAAAAUAUGUUCCAGCGCGGAAAAUAUUGUUCCAAAGUUGUUUUCUCUGUAUGAUUUAUUACUUCUUUCCUCCGCCAGUGUUUUUAUUGCAAGUUUUAAGGAUGCACCAAUAGAACAGCGGAAACCAGUUCACCGCUUCAACUGCAUUCCGUCAGAGCAAGAAUUAUGGGGGUCAGAUGAGAGUUUUCUGGCCUUUUGAUCAGACUGUUGUGCUGAGUGAAAUUAUAGAAGAUGAAAUUUGCACCCUUGUCGAGGAGGUGUAUAAAGAUUCAGUGGGGCUUUUCUGAUGAUGACAGAUUUGCAGCUGCUGCCUGCAAGAGUGAGAGUCAACAUCAAUUCUUUAAUAAGCGUCCAUAUUUCAGAAACAGUGUGUGUGACCAAAAUGAAUGGAAGGAUCCUUCCUUCUCAUUGUGCAGACUUUGAGAUGAGUUGUCUGUGGUGCAGAUGCUGCUCUCUCCCAAGCUGUCAAUGGAGCAACCUGAUUCCCAG